rnacentral:lncRNA from 1 species
GCACUGGACGCCUCACGGCGCCCGUCUCCGCCACUCCGGAUUCGGGGAUCUGCUCCACCUCCCCGGCGGGGCGGGCGAGACGGGCCGGUGGUGCGCCCUCGGCAGGACGGGAAGAAGGACCGAGGCCUCGGGAUCCCACCUCGGCCGGCGGGCGCCGGCCUUCACCUUCAUUGCGCCACGGGUGGCUUUCGUGCGAGCCCCUGACUCGCGCGCGUGUCGGCGCGACGCGGUCGGGGCGCACUGAGGACAGUCCGCCCCGGUUUCGGGGAGAGCAGUCGCGCCGGGGGAGGGGCGGCCCGUCCCCCGGGAACCCGGGCCCGCACCGGCGCACCCGCCCCCACCCGCGAGGGGCGGCGACGGGCGGCGGAGAGAGCGGAAGACGGGGGCCGGGCGGCAACCCGGAGGCGCCGCGCGGCCCGAGGCAACGACCACUUCCCACCAGCCGAGAGGUUCCGGAGAAGGACCGAGACCGGCAGCGGACCGCCUCACAGCACGACAACGGCCCCAAAACCAAAAGCACGGCUUGGCUUUUUCUGCACACCGGCUCGUCUUCCCCAUUCCCAACAACAGCCAGAGCACUUCUCCCCACUAGUCUGCAGGCACAAUCACCCGUUUGUUGACGAAAAAAUUACGUGCCGCACCACCGGGGGAAAUUUGAAAAUCGCGCCAAGCCCAUGGAACUCUGACCCGGAU